GGGGGGAAGAAAGAAAGAUGGAUGUGAGAAAGAAGGAAAGAAAGAGAUGAGAAUAUUUAGACUAUACUUGAGGGACUUUUGACAUUCUAUGAUGAACUGACUUUUGUGUUGAUAAAAAUAAAAAAUCUAUUGUGUUAGAAAGAUUCUAUAUGAUUAUUGUGCCGUGCAAUGAUUUGGUUGGAUAAUUUGGAAGCCAUAGAUGAGUCAAUGAAUAUAUUUUUAAAGCUUUGGCAUGAAAAUUUGAAAAAUAUCAUGAUAAGUUGAAAUGACAAAUCUUAGAUAGUCCUU
rnacentral:lncRNA from 1 species